AGAGUUUGAUCCUGGCUCAGGAUGAAUGCUAGCAGUGCGCCUGAGAUAUGCAAGUCGAGCGUUGCCGGAGGAGAGCUUGCUCUCCGAUGGAAGCGGCGGACGGCUGAGUAAUACGUAGGGACUUCCCCCUAGGUAGAGAAUAGCUCACCGAAAGGUGGGGUAAUGCUCUAUGGUACCUUCUUUUUGAAGGUUAAAGUCUUCGGACGCCAAGGGAUAGACCUGCGGCCUAUCAGGUAGUUGGUGAGAUAAUAGCUUCACCAAGCCUAUGACGGGUAGCUGGCCUCAUGAGGGUGGUCAGCCAGAGGGGGACUGAGACACGGCCCCCACUCCUACGGGAGGCAGCAAUCAGGAAUCGUCGGCAAUGGGGGAAACCCUGACCGCGCGACACUGCGUGUAGGAAGACGCUCGAAAGAGUGUAAACUACUGUGGUAGAGGAAGAAGUCCUUCGGGAUUGACGGUACUCUACUAGAAAGGGGCCGCUAACUGCGUGCCAGAAGCGUCGGUAAUACGUGGGCCCCAAGCAUUAUCCGGUUUAAUUGGGCGUAAAGGGUCGUGUAGGUGGAUAGGUAAGUUAUCUUUUAAAUUCAGAGGCUCAACCUCUGGUCUGGAGGUAAUACUACCUGUCUAGAGUUUUCUUUAGGGUAAGCGGAACUGAGUGAGUAGUAGUGAAAUGCGUUGAUACACUCGGGAACACCAGUGGCGAAGGCGGCUUACUGGAAGAAGACUGACACUGAGACACGAAAGCUAGGGGAGCGAAGCAGAUUAGAGACCUGCGUAGUCCUAGCCCUAAACGAAUGUUCGCUAGCUGCAUUGGCCAACUUUUGUUGUCCGGUGUGGCGAAGGUAACCCGUUAAGCGAACCGCCUGGGGAGUACGGCCGCAAGGCUAAAACUCAAAGGAAUNNNNNNNNNNNACAGGUGCUGCAUGGCUGUCGUCAGUUCGUUCCGUGAGGAGUGCCCUUAAGUGGGACAACGAACGCAACCCCCAUCGUAUGUUACAAGUGUCAUACGAAACUGCCCAAGUCUGACUUGGGAGGAAGGAGGGGCAGACGUCAAGUCAGCAUGGUCCUUAUACCCUGGGCUGCACACAUGUUACAAUGGGAAGGACAAUGGGUUUUGCAAACUCGCGAGAGUAAGCGAAUCCCACAAACCUUCUCUCAGUUGGGAUUGAAGUCUGCAAUUCGACUUCAUGAACGCGGAAUUGGUAGUAAUCGUGGAUCAGCUACGCCACGGUGAAUACGUUCUUGCCUCUUGCACACACCGCCCGUCAAGCCAACAAAGUCGUUGGUAUUCGAACCUCGUGUUUACACGGGGGAGAGUACUGAUGGCGAUGAGGGUUAAGUCGUAACAAGGUAUCCGUUCUGGAAGGAGCGGAUG
rnacentral:rRNA from 1 species